GACGAACGCUGGCGGCGUGCUUAACACAUGCAAGUCGAACGGUAAGGCCCUUCGGGGUACACGAGUGGCGAACGGGUGAGUAACACGUGGGUGAUUUGCCCUGCACUUCGGGAUAAGCCUGGGAAACCGGGUCUAAUACCGGAUAGGACCACUGCCUGCAUGGGUUGCGGUGGAAAGUGUUUGCGGGGUGGGAUGGGCCCGCGGCCUAUCAGCUUGUUGGUGGGGUGAUGGCCUACCAAGGCGACGACGGGUAGCCGGCCCGAGAGGGUGACCGGCCACACUGGGACUGAGAUACGGCCCAGACUCCUACGGGAGGCAGCAGUGGGGAAUAUUGCACAAUGGGCGCAAGCCUGAUGCAGCGACGCCGCGUGAGGGAUGACGGCCUUCGGGUUGUAAACCUCUUUCAGCACCGACGAAGCGCAAGUGACGGUAGGUGCAGAAGAAGGACCGGCCAACUACGUGCCAGCAGCCGCGGUAA
rnacentral:rRNA from 1 species